rnacentral:rRNA from 1 species
UACAGGGGGUGCAAACGUUGCUCGGAAUCAUUGGGCGUAAAGCGCACGUAGGCGGUUCGUUAUGUCGGAUGUGAAAGCCCUUGGCUUAACCGAGGAAGUGCAUCCGAAACUGGCGAGCUAGAGUACUAAAGAGGAUCGCGGAAUUCCCGGUGUAGAGGUGAAAUUCGUAGAUAUCGGGAGGAACACCGGUGGCGAAGGCGGCCUGCUGGGCAGUGGCUGACGCUGAGGCGCGACAGCGUGGGGAGCAAACAGG